rnacentral:tRNA from 1 species
GCUCUCGUAGCUCAGUUGGUUAGAGCGCCAGCCUAACAUGCUGGAGGUCAGGAGUUCGACCCUCCUCGAGAGUA